rnacentral:rRNA from 1 species
ACGGGAGGCAGCAGUGGGGAAUAUUGGGCAAUGGAGGCAACUCUGACCCAGCCAUGCCGCGUGAGGGAAGACGGUCCUAUGGAUUGUAAACUUCUUUUGCCGCGGAGUAACCGCGGGGACGCGUCCCCGCCUGAGAGUAUGCGGCGAAUAAGGAUCGGCUAACUCCGUGCCAGCAGCCGCGGUAAUACGGAGGAUACGAGCGUUAUCCGGAUUUAUUGGGUUUAAAGGGUGCGCAGGCGGAUCGGUAAGUCAUGGGUGAAAAGCUGGGGCUCAACCCCAGUCGUACCUAUGAUACUGCCGGACUAGAGUGCAGGGGAAGUAACUGGAAUGUGGUGUGUAGCGGUGAAAUGCUUAGAUAUGACACAGAACGCCGAUUGUGAAGACAGGUUACGAAUUUGCAACUGACGCUGAUGCACGAAAGCGUGGGGAUCAAACAGGAUUAGAUACCCUGGUA